UCCUUGUUUCCAAGGCAGUCCCGCUAGAGACCUUCUCUUACGAGAAGCAACUAGCAGCAGGGGUUGCGCUCGUUAGAGGACUUAACCUAACAUCUCACGACACGAGCUGACGACAGCCAUGCAGCACCUGUGUAUCUGUCUCAACUUUCGUUGAGCCUUCCGGCUUUCACCGUCUUUCAGAAACAUGUCAAACCCAGGUAAGGUUUCUCGCGUAGUGUCGAAUUAAACCACAUGUUCCACCGCUUGUGCGGACCCCCGUCAAUUUCUUUGAGUUUUAAUCUUGCGAUCGUACUACUCAGGCGGAUCACUUAACGCGUUAGCUUCGACACAGAGACCCUACGGUCCCUACAUCUAGUGAUCAUCGUUUACAGCGUGGACUAC
rnacentral:misc_RNA from 1 species